ACACGACUACAUUAGAUACCCCUGUAGUCCAGGGUGUAAACGCUGCGGGCUUGGUGUUGGGGGUCCUUUGAGGGCGCCCAGUGCCGGAGAGAAGUUGUUAAGCCUGCUGCUUGGGGAGUACGUCCGCAAGGAUGAAGCUUAAAGGAAUUGGCGGAGGAGCACCGCAACGGGAGGAGCGUGCGGUUCAAUUGGAUUCAACGCCGGACAACUCACCAGGAGCGACGGUUACAUGAAGGCCAGGCUGAUGACCUUGCCUGACUUUCCG
rnacentral:rRNA from 1 species